AGUGAACGCUGGCGGUAGGCCUAACACAUGCAAGUCGAACGGCAGCACAGUAAGAGCUUGCUCUUACGGGUGGCGAGUGGCGGACGGGUGAGGAGUACAUCGGAAUCUACUUUUUCGUGGGGGAUAACGUAGGGAAACUUACGCUAAUACCGCAUACGACCUACGGGUGAAAGCAGGGGAUCUUCGGACCUUGCGCGAUUGAAUGAGCCGCUGUCGGAUUAGCUAGUUGGCGGGGUAAAGGCCCACCAAGGCGACGAUCCGUAGCUGGGCUGAGAGGAUGGUCAGCCACACUGGAACUGAGACACGGUCCAGACACCUACGGGAGGCAGCAGUGGGGAAUAUUGGACAAUGGGCGCAAGCCUGAUCCAGCCAUACCGCGUGGGUGAAGAAGGCCUUCGGGUUGUAAAGCCCUUUUGUUGGGAAAGAAAAGCAGCAGGUUAAUACCCCGCUGUUCUGACGGUACCCAAAGAAUAAGCACCGGCUAACUUCGUG
rnacentral:rRNA from 1 species